AUUGAACGCUGGCGGCAUGCCUUACACAUGCAAGUCGAACGGUAACGGGUCCUUCGGGAUGCCGACGAGUGGCGAACGGGUGAGUAAUAUAUCGGAACGUGCCCAGUAGUGGGGGAUAGCUGCUCGAAAGAGCAGCUAAUACCGCAUACGACCUGAGGGUGAAAGGGGGGGAUCGCAAGACCUCUCGCUAUUGGAGCGGCCGAUAUCAGAUUAGCUAGUUGGUGGGGUAAAGGCCUACCAAGGCAACGAUCUGUAGUUGGUCUGAGAGGACGACCAGCCACACUGGGACUGAGACACGGCCCAGACUCCUACGGGAGGCAGCAGUGGGGAAUUUUGGACAAUGGGCGCAAGCCUGAUCCAGCAAUGCCGCGUGCAGGAAGAAGGCCUUCGGGUUGUAAACUGCUUUUGUCAGGGAAGAAAUCUUCUGGGCUAAUACCCCGGGAGGAUGACGAUACCUGAAGAAUAAGCACCGGCUAACUACGUGCCAGCAGCCGCAGUAA
rnacentral:rRNA from 1 species